GCUGUGUUCAUGGAAUUCAGUCUUGUUGCACAUAGAUCAAGGCAGGUAAGGGUAAGCCAGAGAGAUAGCAGGAGCUGGAAGUGAAGGGCCCCAGAGCUGAGAUGAGGAGUUUGGCCCAUAUCUUGAAGACGUGGCAGAGCCAUCAAAGUGUUUUAAGCAGGGGAAUUGUGUAAUCAUACAUACACUUUAGAGAGAUCACUCAGACAGCAGCACGGAAGGGAAGCUGGAGAAAGUGAAAGCAGAAGUGGUAAGACAGUGAGGGGACAUGAGAGGGACCUGCACCAGGCUCUGGCAGGGGUCAAAGAGAAGUGCUAUCAUAAAAGUAAAAUCCACCGCACUUGGAGGUUAAUUGGAUGUAGGCAAGAGGGAGAACAAGAAACUUCCCGGAAUUAGCACCCAGAAAGGGCCUCUAGACCACACCCUCUGGCCUCAACUCCACAGCCACAGUGCUGGUGGUGAUGGAGGGUGAAUACUCAUAAGACCCCCAGUUUCAUCAGCGUUUCAGUGGUCCUUCAGGCAACAAGAGAAGCAGGGGGAAAGGGAGUCUAUCUCUCACUUCCUCCAAGAUUAGGAACAUCAGCUUCUUCUAGAUCCCCCAGACUCUUUUACCCCAGCCUCCCCCUGAAGUCUCUUGAACUCCCACUGUCCUCUAGUCUUGCCUGCCUUUAGUAGAGUAUCACCAUCUCACGCAGUUUCCUUUUGUCCUGAGCACUGUGAAAAGGACUUGGGCCCCGGAAGCAGACAGAACUGGAGUCACAUCUUGUCUGUGCCACUUACUAGCUGUGUGAUCUUAGGGACAGCUAGACUAUAUUUCCCAGCCUUCCUUGCAGUUAUGUGAAACCAAGUGAAUGAGCUCUGGCCAAAGAAAUGAGAGCGAAAGUAAUGGAGACUACUUCCAAGCCUGGUCCAUAAAAACUCUAGUGUGGUCCUCUAGCCUCUCCUCUUUCCCCAUCCACUGGCUGGAUGGUGUGGACUUCAAGGACCUAGACGAGAGCAGAGUAACAAGAGAGAAGGGGCCUGAGUUCCUGAGUCACUAGAUGGAAAAGAAUUGCCUGACCAGCAACAUCAGCACAGAAUAUUGCUGCAUGAGUAGAAAAUAAACUUGUAGGCUGGGCGCGGUGGCCCACACCUGUAAUCCCAGCACUUUGGGAGGCUGAGGUGAGUGGAUCAUUUGAGGUCAGGAGUUCGAGACCAGCCUGGCCAACAUUGUAAAACCCCAUCCAUACUAAAAAU
rnacentral:lncRNA from 10 species